AUUGAACGCUGGCGGCAUGCUUUACACAUGCAAGUCGAACGGUAGCGGGGGCAACCCCUUGAGAGUGGCGGACGGGUGAGUAAUGCAUCGGAACGUGCCCAGUCGUGGGGGAUAACGCAGCGAAAGCUGUGCUAAUACCGCAUACGAUCUCUGGAUGAAAGCGGGGGGCCUUGUAGCAAUACGGGGCCUCGCGCGAUUGGAGCGGCCGAGGUCGGAUUAGGUAGUUGGUGGGGUAAAGGCUCACCAAGCCAACGAUCGGUAGCUGGUCUGAGAGGAAGACCAGCCACACUGGGACUGAGACACGGCCCAGACUCCUACGGGAGGCAGCAGUGGGGAAUUUUGGACAAUGGGCGCAAGCCUGAUCCAGCAAUGCCGCGUGCAGGAAGAAGGCCUUCGGGUUGUAAACUGCUUUUGUACGGAACGAAAAGGUCUGGGUUAAUACCCUGGGCACAUGACGGUACCGUAAGAAUAAGCACCGGCUAACUACGUGCCAGCCGCCGCCGUAA
rnacentral:rRNA from 1 species